ACAGAUUUUGCUCAAAAAAUAGAUUAUUUCAUCUUAGAUCAUGUUUAACGCAAAGUAUGUUUUAUUCUUUUAUUCAAGGUUCAAAAGGGAAUUGCUUCUCCAAUGAAGAAAGAUUGUCAUGGAAGAUUUUAUCGUUUGGAAGAGAUGGAAGAGGAGAGAAGAUCCACCGUAAAGGAAAGAAAAAUGGCAAGCUUUCUGAUGUUGGAGAGAAUUCCCUUUUGAAGGUUCAAAAGGGAAUUGCUUCUCCAAUGAAGAAAGAUUGUCAUGGAAGAUUUUAUCGUUUGGAAGAGAUGGAAGAGGAGAGAAGAUCCACCGUAAAGGAAAGAAAAAUGGCAAGCUUUCUGAUGUUGGAGAGAAUUCCCUUUUGAAGGUUCAAAAGGGAAUUGCUUCUCCAAUGAAGAAAGAUUGUCAUGGAAGAUUUUAUCGUUUGGAAGAGAUGGAAGAGGAGAGAAGAUCCACCGUAAA